rnacentral:rRNA from 1 species
CGAUGUCGGCUCUUCCUAUCAUUGUGAACGAGAAUUCACCAAGUGUUGGAUUGUCACACCACCAAAUAGGGACACGUGAACCUGGGUUUAGACCCGCCGUGAGACAAGGUUAAGUUUUACACCCUACCUGAUGAUCGUGCCGCCGAUAGUAGAUUCAACCCUAAGUACCGACGAGGGACCGUUGAUUCCACACCAAAUUGGUCAUCCGCGCUUGGUUGAAAAAGCCAGUGGCGCGAACGUACCCGUGUGUCGGAUUAUGACUGAACGCCUCUAGAGUCAGAAUCCUAGCUAGCGACCGGCGCUCUCGCCCGUCGUUCGCCUCCCCGACCCACAGUAGGGGCCUUCGGCCCCCAUGGGGCUCGUGUCGCCGGUUGUAGCCCCCGUGGUGGUAUAGCCACGGGUGGCCAUCGGGAAGUGAAAUUCCGCACGGACGACGGGCCGAAUCCUUUGCAGACGACUUAAUACGCGUAGGGGCAUUGUAAGUGGUAGAGUGCCUUGCUGCCACGAUCCACUGAGAUCCAGCCCUGCGUCGCACGGAUUCGUCCCCCCCCCCAAAUUCACUGUCCCUCCACGCUGACGAGGUUGAAAGCGACAGU